rnacentral:rRNA from 1 species
ACCAGACGAUGCGGUUACCGCGGCUGCUGGCACGGAGUUAGCCGGUGCUUCUUCUGUGAGUGAUGUCCUUCCUGCCGGCUAUUAACCCGCAGGCCUUCUUCCUCACUGAAAGUGCUUUACAACCCGAAGGCCUUCUUCACACACGCGGCAUGGCUGGAUCAGGGUUGCCCCCAUUGUCCAAUAUUCCCCACUGCUGCCUCCCGUAGGAGUCUGGGCCGUGUCUCAGUCCCAGUGUGGCUGAUCAUCCUCUCAGACCAGCUACGGAUCGUCGACUUGGUGAGCCGUUACCUCACCAACCAGCUAAUCCGACAUAGGCUCAUCCGAUAGCGCGAGGCCCGAAGGUCCCCCGCUUUCCCCCGGUAGGGCGUAUGCGGUAUUAGCCUGGGUUUCCCCAGGUUAUCCCCCGACUACCGGGCAGAUUCCUAUGCAUUACUCACCCCGUCCGCCGCUCGCCACCAGGGAGCAAGCUCCCCGUGCUGCCGCUCGACUUGCAUGUGUU